AUAUUUAUUAAUAUUAAUAAUUAAUAGACUCGUUCCUGAUAUCCACCGGAGAGAGGAUGAUAUUACCUUAAAUAUCACAACUGGUGUACACGACCGCAUUGAUAUUGCUUCGAAUAUCCACUUGGGAGAGGAGGAUAGGACACGCAACAUCGCAUGGAGGAGAAACACUCCUGGGCUACCCUUCUUAAUAUUCGGGGGGAAGAGGAUGAUAUGAUUCCCAAUACAGACGGUUGUACACCCUCUGAGGGUGUACACACUAGGGGUGUACACCCGUAUGUGAAAGGGUUCAAAAUUUUCAGAAGGGGAGAUAACAUUACUCGGAAUGUCGGAAACAGGCUGGUAACAUUUACAGCGUUGAGGAGAACACCUCAGAACCUGUGAGAAAUGGCCAAAGCGGCAGUCAGAGGAAAAUUUAGAGCCUUCGAUACAUUUACUAGUAAACAGAGAGGAUGAAAAACAGGUGAGUGAAGCAUUCAACCCAACAAACUACAAAAACAGCAGUUGAAUAAAAGAAAAACUAAAAGAAUGCCAGGUGCAGUGGCUCGAACCUAUAAUAUCAGCACUUUGGGUCGCUGAGGCAGGAGGAUCAUUUGGGCCCAGGAGUUUGAGACCAGCCUGGGCAACACAGUGAGACUCCAUCUCUAAAAAAAAAGAAAAAAAGAAAAAAGAAAAAAAUAAUUUUAGUUAGCUAGGUAUAGUGGCAUGUACUUGUGGUUCCAGUUACUUAGGAGGUUGAGGCAGGAGGAUUGCUUGAGACUGGGAGGUCGAGGCUUCAGUGAACCGUCUUUGCACCACUGUCCACUCUAGCCUGGGCAACAGAGUAAAACCCUGUCUGGAAAAAAAAAAUGCAGAAAAAAAAUAUGAAGGAAACAAAAACCAAGGUCUGGUUCUUUAAAAAGAUUAGUAUAGGCCGGGCACGGUGGCUCACACCUG
rnacentral:lncRNA from 1 species